ACAGCUACUACUUUAAAUGCUCCAUUUGAUGGCCCUUUUCUUCUCUCAUUCUUCGUUUCAUGCUGGGCAGAAAUGCCUGUAAUUAAUCACUCCCACAAUCAAAACUGAAAAGUGAAAUGCUCACAACAACUUUUUAAAUACCUCAGGUAUUGACUUAAGCUUAUUAGGAACAACAAAUUUUUUGCGUCUAACUUCAUAUUCAUUUAAUCUCCCUCGUGAAUAUAUAAUCUACAAUAAACUUCAACAAACAACAGCAAAGAAUAAGUUACUAGCAAUAAUCAAACUAAAAAUUCAAGAAUGCACAAAAAGGAUUGUUCACUUUUACACAACCACACACAAUACCUAAGUAAACACCAUCAAUGUACACACAUUAGAAACAAGACCAUCCUCAACCUCACACGAGGCUUUGAAAAACUGUUCGCGAUCGCGAUUGCGGCUGCAACGUCAACGCGACCGCAACUAUGGUCCAUUUAUCUGUUAUUUGGCACAAUAUAAAAAAAAAAAACGCGCAGCAAUUUAAAAAACCUCUUCUGCAGACACAACAGGUUCAUGCAAUGCAGCAACAAAAUGCAAAGAGAGGAACAUUCACAUGCUCUUGCUGCAAACAAUUACCGCGAAUUCGCACCUUAGAUAAAUGUGUGACGGAGAUUGAACUCGCUCACUCCCAGUUUGUCAGCACAGAAACAGUGAAACCGCGAUUCCAAAUGCGGCCGCCAGAAGUGAUUUUGUUGCAGUGAAAGUAAUUCGCAAUCGUAACGCUUUUCACAAUCUAAGAGACAGAAAAUCGAAAGGGAAAAUAAUUGAAAAAAUUUCUCAACAGCCAAACAGAAAAGAGAGAGAAAAAUUAC
rnacentral:lncRNA from 1 species